rnacentral:sRNA from 1 species
ACUCGUUGGUACCACGGCAGGGUGAGAACCUUAAUAGGUUCGACAGGCCUGAACGGCGCCUUUGGCACCGGCCCCGGAGUGGUGAGGCGCGCAGCGCCGAAUAAUCCUGCCGAUCCGGUUU